GUGCCCUCUUCGGCCGCCCAUGUCCUAAAGCUAUAACCACGCAGAGAAGAUUAGCUUGGCCCCCCUACAAGAAUGACACACGAAUGCAUGAAACAUUCCCUAUUUUU
ensembl:snRNA U6 U6 spliceosomal RNA